GCCGAGGUGGCGGAAGCAGGUAGACGCGCUAGCUUGAGGGGCUAGUGAGCAUAAGCUCGUAGGAGUUCAAAUCUCCUCCUCGGCACCA
rnacentral:tRNA from 1 species